rnacentral:lncRNA from 7 species
GCCCCUGCACUAAUAGAUGGGUGACAGCCGCCAGACACGGCGAUCACACGGCUGGACGGGGGUGGUUCACGGCUGGUUCCGCCUUAGCCUGUAUGCCCCCACCUCUAUGUAAUCGUCGAGUUUCCAGGGCUCCAUCUCAAUAUCUCAUCUGUCAUACCAGAAGUAGCUGUGAGAGUGCCACCACCGUGGGAAAACCGAGAGGUCAGGAAGGGUGAAAGGGAGUCGUUGCCGGUAAUCCUUGAUUCCGUCGCCAUUUUAGAUGUGGUGGAUGGUCGAAGGUGAUAGUGGGAGCACGUGGAGGGCGUUCACGGCAUCAUCGUGGGAACACGAAGGCAGAAGACUCAGAAUUGCUCACCGGUGUGCGAAGGUUCACCAUGAGCCAAUGGGCCGAUGUGGUCAGGCAUCUGCACGACACCACCACUUAUAAGCUAGGUAACAAGGAACAUAAAGACUCAAUUGGAGAAGUAC